GACGAACGCUGGCGGCACGCCUAACACAUGCAAGUCGAACGGACUUACAAGAGCUUGCUUUUUUAAGUUAGUGGCGGACGGGUGCGUAACACGUGAGCAACCUGCCUCUGAGAGGGGGAUAGCUUCUGGAAACGGAUGGUAAUACCCCAUAAAAUAUAAAUAUCGCAUGAUAGCUAUAUCAAUGCAAUUCGCGCAGAGAUGGGCUCGCGUCUGAUUAGAUAGUUGGUGAGGUAACGGCUCACCAAGUCGACGAUCAGUAGCCGGACUGAGAGGUUGAACGGCCACAGUGGGACUGAGACACGGCCCAGACUCCUACGGGAGGCAGCAGUGGGGAAUAUUGCACAAUGGAGGGAACUCUGAUGCAGCGAUGCCGCGUGGAGGAAGAAGGUUUUCGGAUUGUAAACUCCUUUUAUCAGGGACGAUAAUGACGGUACCUGAAGAAAAAGCUCCGGCUAACUACGUG
rnacentral:rRNA from 1 species